UACAGGGGGUGCAAACGUUGCUCGGAAUCAUUGGGCGUAAAGCGCACGUAGGCGGUUCGUUAUGUCGGAUGUGAAAGCCCUUGGCUUAACCGAGGAAGUGCAUCCGAAACUGGCGAGCUAGAGUACGAAAAGAGGAUCGCGGAAUUCCCGGUGUAGAGGUGAAAUUCGUAGAUAUCGGGAGGAACACCGGUGGCGAAGGCGGCGAUCUGGGUCGAUACUGACGCUGAGGUGCGAAAGCGUGGGGAACAAACAGG
rnacentral:rRNA from 1 species